rnacentral:rRNA from 1 species
GACGAACGCUGGCGGCGUGCUUAACACAUGCAAGUCGAACGGAAAGGCCCUGCUUUUGUGGGGUGCUCGAGUGGCGAACGGGUGAGUAACACGUGAGUAACCUGCCCUUGACUUUGGGAUAACUUCAGGAAACUGGGGCUAAUACCGGAUAGGAGCUCCUGCUGCAUGGUGGGGGUUGGAAAGUUUCGGCGGUUGGGGAUGGACUCGCGGCUUAUCAGCUUGUUGGUGGGGUAGUGGCUUACCAAGGCUUUGACGGGUAGCCGGCCUGAGAGGGUGACCGGCCACAUUGGGAUGGAUAUCCGCCCGAGUCCCAUCGGGGGGGAAGAAGGGGGAUAUUUUGCAAAUGGGGGGGAGGCUUAAGGCAGAACCGCCGGGGGGGGAGGGGGGGCUUUGGGUUUGAAACCCUCUUUCCCCUGUGAGGAAGGGGGGGGGAGGUAAGGGGGAAAAGAGGCCCCGAAUAAGUCGGUC